UACGGGGGGAGCAAGCGUUGUUCGGAGUUUACUGGCGUAAAGGGCGCGUAGGCGGUCAGCACAAGUCAGUUGUGAAAUCUCCGGGCUUAACUCGGAAAGGUCAACUGAUACUGUGCGACUAAGAGUGCAGAAGGGGCAACUGGAAUUCUCGGUGUAGCGGUGAAAUGCGUAGAUAUCGAGAGGAACACCUGCGGCGAAGGCGGGUUGCUGGGCUGACACUGACGCUGAUGCGCGAAAGCCAGGGGAGCGAACGGG
rnacentral:rRNA from 1 species